UACGUAGGGUGCAAGCGUUGUCCGGAAUUAUUGGGCGUAAAGGGCUCGUAGGCGGUCCGUCACGUCGGGAGUGAAAACUUGGGGCUUAACCCCAAGCCUGCUUCCGAUACGGGCGGACUAGAGGUAGGCAGGGGAGAACGGAAUUCCUGGUGUAGCGGUGAAAUGCGCAGAUAUCAGGAGGAACACCGGUGGCGAAGGCGGUUCUCUGGGCCUUACCUGACGCUGAGGAGCGAAAGCCAGGGGAGCGAACGGG
rnacentral:rRNA from 1 species